UGAGCAUUCUUGUAGGGGCAUACACAGU
rnacentral:piRNA from 1 species